GAGGGUAUAGCUCAUUGGUAAAGCCUGUGCCUAGCAUGCAAGGGUCCUGGGUUCAAUCCCCAGUACCUCCA
rnacentral:tRNA from 1 species